CCUACGGGUGGCAGCAGUGAGGAAUAUUGGUCAAUGGGCGGAAGCCUGAACCAGCCAAGUAGCGUGCAGGAUGACGGCCCUACGGGUUGUAAACUGCUUUUAUACGGGAAUAACGCGCCUUACGUGUAGGGCUUUGCAUGUACCGUAUGAAUAAGGACCGGCUAAUUCCGUGCCAGCAGCCGCGGUAAUACGGAAGGUCCGGGCGUUAUCCGGAUUUAUUGGGUUUAAAGGGUGCGCAGGCGGAGGCACAAGUCAGCGGUAAAAUCGCGGGGCUCAACCCCGCUCCGCCGUUGAAACUGUGUCCCUUGAGUGCGCGAAGGGUAGGCGGAAUGCGUGGUGUAGCGGUGAAAUGCAUAGAUAUCACGCAGAACUCCGAUCGCGAAGGCAGCCUACCGGCGCGCAACUGACGCUCAUGCACGAAAGCGUGGGUAUCGAACAGGAUUAGAUACCCCAGUAGUC
rnacentral:rRNA from 1 species